AUACGGAGGGUGCAAGCGUUAUCCGGAAUCAUUGGGUUUAAAGGGUCCGCAGGCGGAUUAAUAAGUCAGUGGUGAAAUCCUCUCGCUCAACGAGAGAACUGCCAUUGAAACUGUUAGUCUUGAAUUCGGUCGAAGUAGGCGGAAUGUGUCAUGUAGCGGUGAAAUGCAUAGAUAUGCCACAGAACACCGAUAGCGAAGGCAGCUUACUAGACCUGGAUUGACGCUCAUGGACGAAAGCGUGGGGAGCGAACAGGAUUAGAAACCCCAGUAGUCC
rnacentral:rRNA from 1 species